GACGAGCUCUCCAAACGUUAUUCGGUAUUACUGGGCUUAAAGAGUUCGUAGGCGGUCUUGUAGGUGAGGUGUGAAAGCCCUCGGCUUAACCGAGGAACUGCGCUUCAAACCGCAAGGCUUGAGGGAGGUAGGGGUAUGCGGAACAGAUGGUGGAGCGGUGAAAUGCGUUGAUAUCAUCUGGAACACCGGUGGCGAAAGCGGCAUACUGGACCUCUUCUGACGCUGAGGAACGAAAGCUAGGGUAGCGAACGGG
rnacentral:rRNA from 1 species